UCCGCCUUCCACGUCCCUCAUCCCCACCAGGUUUGUCGUUACCACUUGGGGUUUUCCUGGUUUCACUUGAGUGAUUUCCCGAAGCGGAUUCUCCAUUUGGCUGGUGGACGUCGUUCCAGUUCUGAUGGAUCUUCUGGCUGGUUGUCAGGUCACCGCCAGCUCUUCAAGGACCGUGGAGCUCUACUGGCUGAAUGCUUUGCUGUCUGACCCUGAGCCAAGUUCUUAAUCGUCUUUGUGCCCUGGUUUGUCAUCUGUAAAUGGGGAUCGUCGCUGGACCUACCGGAAAGGGAAGCUUGAGGCUUAUAUGAGGUCGUUCAUGGAAGGUGCUUGGCGUGGAGGCAGGCGUAUGAAAAAGCUCAGUGUAUGUUGGUUACGACUGUAUUCCAUGACGUCCAUUAGAGUGUCGUUUGUAACAGAAUACAACCCGGAAGCCUAAAUAUCUAACCACAGGGGAUCGUCUCCAGAAGUAGCACCACAUCUUUAGAGUAAAUUAUUGCACAUAUCUGAAAAGCCUGUUUCUAAAGAAUGUUUCCUAAUGCAAGUAAAAGCUCACGGAAUGAGAUUAGGUUUAAAAAAAAAAAAGGUGGGAUAAAAACCAAAUCAAAUGUGAUGCUACUUUUGUUACACACGUAGAGGCUGAUGCUUC